rnacentral:lncRNA from 1 species
UUACAUAAUUAGGGUGUCAACAAGAUCACCAACGUUAGACUAGUCUUGUCAUUCCGAUCCUGACUAAACGUAAAACUUGUUUCGUUAGUCUUGUUAUUUCGACCCUAACUUAUCCUGUCAUUCACCGACAGCCUUAUCAUUUCGACCUGACUUAGUAUGUCAGACACACUCUGAUUUAAUCAAAACUCAUCUCACACUUCCAGCAGGUGAUCCGGUUCUGAUACCAAAUAUAACGACUUAGCCUGUCAUUCACCGGUUCUGAUACCAAAUGGCUAAAACCAUCGAUCCAAAAUAUUUAAGCCCAGUUAUUAUAAUUAGGUUGGAAUCUUUUUAUAUACCUAAUGAUAAUUCUAUUCCUAUCCGAUGCGGGACUAUUAGGGUGUCACAAUAAUAAAUUAGUUUUAAUAUAUUGUCUACGAUCUCGUAAAAAGUAUAUAAUUAUAUUUUAUAUAUGUUUUCAUGAACUUUUUAAUAUCAGAUCGACUAAUUAGAAAAUAUCCUUAACCUUUUAUUUACCAAACACUAUAGAUACUGAAGUGUUAUCCGAAUUUGAAUUCGAAUUGGGCGGAUUUAUCUGAUGCUAGAUAUGAUUUCAUAUAUAUAUAUAUAUAUAUAUAUAUAUAUAUAUAGAACUUAGACCAAAUUUGGAUUUGGAUAUAGAUUUUGUUCCUAUUCGACAAAAAUUCGAGCCCGACACAAAUCCGAAUUAAUUUUACAGUAUGUAAUAUAAAUUAAUAUUUGAUAUUAUAUUUGCAAAUGUAUUUUGAAAACUUAAAUUUUCUUAUAAUAUAUUUUAAAAUUUGUAAAGAAAAAUAAUUAUUUCAGAUUCAAAUUUCAGAUUUUGCAUGGAAUUCGAAUUUUAAAACCAAUUUUCAAAAUCCAUAGGAAUUAAAUUACAGAUUGAUUUUGAUUUUUGAAAAAUUUGUUCCAAAUCCAAUCCGUCUGAGUUCCAAAUAAAUUAUUAUUAUUAUUAUUAUUAUUUUGCAUGAACUGCU